rnacentral:tRNA from 1 species
GCCUGGGUGGCUCAGUCGGUUGAGCGACUGGCUUCGGCUUAGGUCAUGAUCUCGUGGUCUGUGGGUUCGAGCCCCACGUCGGGCU